UGGGCAGUUGGUUUGGAUGACUUGGCUGCCA
rnacentral:piRNA from 1 species